UUUUUUGUAUUUUUGACUAGGGAUGGGGUUUCACCAUGUUAGCCAGGUUGGUCUUGAUCUCCGGACCUCGUGAUCCACCCUCCUAGGCCUCCCAAAGUGCUGGGAUUACAGGCGUGAGCCACUGCACCCUGCCACAUAUUUUUAUAAGAAGGAAGAAGAGGGGGAUUUGACAUACAGAGAAGGCCAUAUGAAGACACUGGCAGAGAUAGGAGUGAUAUGGUCACAAACCAAGGAAUGCCAGCAUUUGUCAAAAGCUGGAAAGGCAAAGAACAGAUUAUUCCCUGCCUAUGAAAGAGAGUAUAGCCCUGUCAAACCUUAGUUUCAGCCCAGUACUACUAAUUUUGGACCUCUGUCCUCUGGACUUUGAGAGAAGAAAUUUCUGUUGUUUUAAGCCACCUAGAUUAUAAAUUGUUUUAUUAAUAGCCAUAGAAAACUAAUACAUAUCUCCCUUCCCUCUCUUAACUACGCCAUACAUUGACAAGUAGCAUGCAAAGUACUACUUAGAUAGAUAGACUUCAGUAAAAUAAAUUCUUAUUAGAAGACAUUGUUUAUAGUGGAAUACAUGCAAACUUUGAUGUCAGACUAGUAGUUUCCAAUUAUGUGUAGGCAUUAGUCACCUAGGCAACAAUGAACAAAUCUCUGUGCCUUGUGCUCAUCUUUAAAGACUGAAAUAGUUUAGUGGGGUCUGGCACAAAUAUUUUCUUAAAAGCACUCAAGGCCUUUGCUCCUCAAAGUAUGUCCUGGGACCACCAGCAGCACUGGCAUCACUGGUGACUUUGUUAGAAAUGCAGAACUUGGGGCCCUACCCUAGAUCAUAAAUCUGCAUUUCACCAAGAUUCUCAGUGAAAUAUGUAUGCAGGAAAUAUUAACAAACACUGAUAUGGGUGAUUCCAAUGAACAACAAGGGUUGAGAAGCACUAAUUUAGAUAAGUAGUUUCAUUUUAUAUCUCUUCCACUUAUCAAGAGGAUACUCCUGACCAAUAACUUAUUUAAGUCUUAGAAUUUUAUUCUGUGGUGUAGAAAGAACUAUGCCUACUUUGCAGAGUUGUUAUAAGGGCCAGAUGUGAUAAUUAAUGGAGCGGGACCCUGGCAUAGACACUUAUUUCCAUAAGCAAAUGCAUGUCGAUAUGGGCACACAAGCAGUGAUGUCCAAAUUAAUAGCUCCCCAAACUAAGCUUCCCUAGGGUUAUCUUAUGUUAUUUAUUACCCAAUUCUGUAGAGAAUGCAAAGAAAAUAAUCUGGUACAGUCUAGAGACUGUAGAUGGAGCAGAGUUUGAAGUAGGUUAGAUGAGGCUGAAUUAAGACCUAGACCACCAUAAGCCUGAAUCUGAGUUGCAUACGGAGGAAGAAAAUAAAGUUUUGAGUCAGUCUUGAGGCUAAAGAGAAUGGAGAAAGGCAUAUUUAUUUGUAAUUUACAGUUAAGCUUUACUGAGCUGGAAAAGGACAAUAAGGUAGGUCCAUUGAUUCAGAGAUGCCAGGAAUUCAUAGAAAGAAUAAAAGGUGACCAAGUUAUUUGACUAUAGGAUUUACUGGAAAUCAGCAAACAUUGACUGGAUGAAUAGUAACUAUC
ensembl:lncRNA